AUUGUUCUAUCCCUGGCCCCAGGGCCUCAUGUAGGACAGCUCCAUAGCAACUCUUUGAAAACCAAGUCUGGGAGUUGUGCCCAGUUCUGGGGCCUCUGGGCCUCUCUCUGUCCCUGGACUGAGCUGUUAGCAAGCCUGAUUCCUGAUGUACCUCCCAUAGGAAACGAUGACUGGCUGGGCUGCUGGGGUCACCACAUGAAGUCUCCUAGUUUCCGAUCUAUUCGAGAGCAUCAGAAGCUAAACCAUUUCCCAGGCUCAUUCCAGAUUGGGAGGAAGGACCGGCUAUGGCGGAACCUGUCACGCAUGCAGAGCCGCUUUGGCAAGAAGGAGUUCAGUUUCUUCCCCCAGUCCUUUAUCCUGCCCCAGGACGCCAAGCUCCUGCGCAAAGCGUGGGAGAGCAGCAGCCGCCAAAAGUGGAUUGUGAAGCCACCAGCAUCAGCUCGAGGCAUUGGCAUCCAGGUUAUUCACAAGUGGAGUCAGCUCCCCAAGCGAAGGCCCCUCCUGGUACAGAGGUAUCUACACAAACCCUACCUCAUCAGCGGCAGCAAAUUUGAUCUGCGGAUCUAUGUUUACGUCACUUCCUAUGAUCCUCUGCGGAUUUACCUCUUUUCAGAUGGACUGGUCCGCUUUGCCAGUUGCAAGUAUUCUCCUUCCAUGAAGAGCCUUGGCAAUAAGUUCAUGCAUCUGACCAACUACAGUGUCAAUAAAAAGAAUGCCGAGUACCAGGCCAAUGCAGAUGAAAUGGCUUGCCAGGGCCACAAAUGGGCACUGAAGGCUUUGUGGAACUACCUGAGCCAGAAGGGAGUCAAUAGUGAUGCCAUCUGGGAGAAGAUAAAGGAUGUUGUUGUCAAAACCAUCAUCUCGUCAGAGCCCUAUGUGACCAGCCUGCUCAAGAUGUAUGUGCGGCGGCCCUAUAGCUGCCAUGAACUCUUUGGUUUUGACAUCAUGCUAGACGAAAACCUCAAGCCCUGGG
rnacentral:sRNA from 1 species